GCAGAGUAGCUGUGGACAUUAUAGUUGCGCAGGCACUUUGGUGACUCUAGAGAACCUCGGGCCAAUCGCACGUCCCCGUGAUGGCAACUUUGCCCUAUCAACUUUCCAUGCCACUUUCUGCGCCUACCAUGGUGACCACGGGUAACGGGGAAUCAGGGUUCGAUUCCGGAGAGGGAACCAGAGAAACGGCUCCCACAUCCAAGGAAGGCAGCAGGCGCGCAAAUUACCCACUCCUGAGGCGGGGAGGUAGUGAC
rnacentral:rRNA from 1 species